ACAAACUGAGAUUAAUUACACUUGAUAUUCACAUGUUUGUAGAAAUAGAUUCAACAACCCAGUUUAUACAUUCCAAGGUCAUUCUAAUACAUGAUGUGAGAUAUCAAGUAAGCUACUGUUUAUACAUUUAAAUUAAACACAAAACAAACACGGGAGAAUUUCAAGGAUCCCCUCCAAACAACUAAUUUACUUCCUUUCCAUUAUAUUUGAGACCUUUAGAACAUGUACCUGGAUAAUGGAAAUACAAGAAGAAAAGGAUGAAGUCAGAAACAACAAAUAACACAGCAACAACGCAGCAACGAUGGACCAGCUUAGCAAAACCCAGCAGCACGACAAUGGAACGGUUCCAAACAACCAGUACAACACACAAAAUAAACCAAAAUGAGACCCAGUAACAACAGAAUAAUAACACCCAAAGCUGACCCCAAAACAUCUUAGUUUCAAUCAAUUAUCAAUCGAAAUGCAGUACCAGCAACCAAAAGAUGAACUCGAAAAUAUAACUUGAUAGUUAAAGCUGAAGUUCUCCUUAGUUUUCAAUGAAAACAGUAUUAGUUGAACUAACUGACUCCUUAAACUCUCUAUCUAUGGGAAUCUUUUCUUUUCUAUGUAUUUUUGACUCUAAACUCUUAGAGCUCGUUCCAGUCCCCAAACUCUGUCCUAAAUCCUUUCAUUUAUACCCCACAGCAGACUCCCCUUUUUCAGCCCUCCUUUUUCUUUUACAGUUGUAAAAGAAAACCUUUUAUCAUUACCCCUACUUCUUUUUACUUUCCAGCUUUAUAUAUUCUUCUACUAUGUGAAUACUUUUAACUUUUUUAUUAUUAUAUCCCUCCUUUUACUUUUCAAAUCCCUUUUUUCUUUACAUCAUUAUAUCUUGUUCCUCACUAUAUUAAACAAAUAUAAUAGUUUAAUGGUCCAUUAGUACCUUACUCACAACAUUCAAACUAAAGCAUUUUUCAAGUUUUGAUACCCCAAAUUAACCCUGGAAUUUACUGUGAAUAUCUGUCCUACGCCAUCAGCUAUACCAAUUCACCUAAUAAGAGAACCUAGAUUAAUUCCUAAUUAAUCACUAGAAAUAACUAAGGCUAAAUUUAAAACUAAGUCUAAUUCAUAUCAGACCCUAAACUUAACUGAACAAACAAUAAGAUUCAAACCAGUAAACUCAACAACCUUUGAAUUCAAAUUAGAUCAAACAACAUUACAACCAAGAUGAAAGAUUUAGUUAUUCAGAAAUAUUUGUAUUGAACUAAUAAGGUCAAAGUCGAUUCACAUAGAUACAUAGGAGUAAACUAACUACAUUUAGAACAAAUCAGAAUUUCUAAAUUAAACUUAGACAAGAACGAAGGAACACUAAAAAUAACUGGACGGAAAACAACAUAACUCAUAUACACUAUGAUAAGCAAUGAAUAUAAUGGAAUCAAGAACACUUAUUGAUUCGAGACCUCGCGUGACUGACUCUUCAAAAUUGAUUUUCUACUUAAGCCGCGAGAUAAUAUUAUUCACCUAUUCUUAAAUAAGAAUAGGCGAAUAACACUUCCUUGAGACGAAAUUGGUUUCGAACCCUCAAGACACUGGAGCAGAAACUUCAUAUGAACCGGCUUGGAUUUGCGGAGAUUUCAGCAGGUCUCUUGGCUGAAGAAGGUGAAGUUGAGGGAUGAAGUCGUGUCUAUGGCUGCUAAAGAACUAACUUCUUCAGUCUUCAUGAAGAGGAUGACCGUUCCAGGUUUAAGGGGGAGGUCGUUGGCCAUGGUGUUUCAUGGAGGCUCAGGUUCUCUCAUAGACACUGGUUGGUCUUGUUGGAACGAAGAUGAAGAUGGAAGAUGAAGAUGGAAGAUGAAGAAGCGAGCAACGACUAGGGGGUAACCUUUGGUGUAUUCUGUUCGUGUGUGUUGAUGGUUUUUUGUAGUAAGGGAGAUGAAACAACGGCGACGUUUGGUGUUCUAGGGCUGGGGUAACGACCUACUGUUGUUUGGUUCCUUGCUUGGAGGUGGCGAUGGGGUGGUCGAUGGAGGGGCUGGAUCAGNNN
rnacentral:lncRNA from 1 species